rnacentral:rRNA from 1 species
UACAGAGGGUGCAAGCGUUGUUCGGAAUCAUUGGGCGUAAAGCGCGUGUAGGCGGCCAAAUAAGUCUGAUGUGAAAGCCCGGGGCUUAACCCCGGAAGUGCAUUGGAUACUGUAUGGCUAGAGUGCGAGAGGGGGAAGUGGAAUUCCUGGUGUAGGGGUGAAAUCCGUAGAUAUCAGGAGGAACAUCGGAGGCGAAGGCGACUUCCUGGCUCGCAACUGACGCUCAGACGCGAAAGCGUGGGGAGCAAACAGG